rnacentral:piRNA from 1 species
UGCUUUAGAGAGAGAGGGCCUGAG